GAUGAACGCUAGCUACAGGCUUAACACAUGCAAGUCGAGGGGUAACGAGAGGAAAGCUUGCUUUCCUUGUCGACGACCGGCGCACGGGUGAGUAACGCGUAUCCAACCUGCCCCCAACUAGGGAAUAACCUUGCGAAAGUAAGACUAAUACCCUAUAAUUUCCUCAGAUGGCAUCACCGAAACGCUAAAGAUUUAUCGGACGAGGAUGAGCAUGCGUCCUAUUAGCUAGAUGGCGGGGUAACGGCCCACCAUGGCGACGAUAGGUAGGGGUUCUGAGAGGAAGGUCCCCCACGCUGGUACUGGGACACGGACCAGACUCCUACGGGAGGCAGCAGUGAGGAAUAUUGGUCAAUGGGCGAGAGCCUGAACCAGCCAUGCCGCGUGCAGGAUGACGGCCCUACGGGUUGUAAACUGCUUUUAUCAGAGGGCAAACCCCUCCUUGCGAGGAGGGUUGAGAGUAUCUGAAGAAUAAGGAUCGGCUAACUCCGUGCCAGCAGCCGCAGUAA
rnacentral:rRNA from 1 species